CCUGUCUUCCCCGAAAAGGGGAAGCAGAAGGCCUCGAGCCCUCCGUCCGAUCACGAUUCUACCCCCGGAGGGUCCCAACCUCCAUUCUACCAGAAAACCCUCGAGACUCACAGUCGAGAGGACCUCCUAGAUCAAAGAUUCCAGGAGAUGAACCGACGGAUCGAAGAGCUCCACCAUGCUCCAACUGCUUACGGUGAGGACAUCUGCACUGACCCUCCUUUCUCUCAAAUGAUUAUGUAGGAACCAAUCCCAUCGAACUUCAAGCUCCCCCAAUUCGAGAGCUAUGACAGGACCUC
rnacentral:lncRNA from 1 species